AUGGUGGGGCCUAGCCCAUCCAAGCCCCGCCCAAUGAACGAGUAUGACGAUGGAAGAGCCCGAGUCGGACCCGAGGUUGGUCAGGGUUGGCCUGGGCAUAUAUAUACGCCAGCCGCCGGCCUCCUCCUCCUCGCGUUUCCCUUCAACAACUUGAGAUCCAAUACAGCGAGAGAGAGAAAUCCCCAAUCCAAUCCAAUUCAGCAAACCCUAACCUACCAGGAGGCGAGAGAGAUGUUGCUCCAGGCCAAGGCGGAGGAGGCGUCGUUGAUCGUCAAGGCGGGGUGCGGCCCCAAGAGGAAGGCGGAGGAGGACGGCGGCGAGGUCACCGUCAAAGCCAAGGCCAAGACGGAGGAGGAGGCGUUAGCUUUCACCACCGUCAAGGCCAAGUCGGAGGAGGUCGACAAGGUGAGGUCGGAGGACUCGCACGAAGACGAGGAGUGGGACGAUGACGAGUUCAUGGCCAGGAUCACGGCAGACCACGCCGCCCAUGUCGAGAAGAUGAAGGCUCAGUAUCCCACCAUCAAGUACGGGGACUACGACCCUAAGGUCUACUGCCACCGCCCCGACCCGGAGUCGGAUGCUUGGAAUCUCCAAAAGAAAUGCCUAGGUCUUGCUGAGAUUGCUGCCGGAUUAUUGUAA
rnacentral:rRNA from 1 species